rnacentral:rRNA from 1 species
UACGUAGGGGGCAAGCGUUGUUCGGAAUUACUGGGCGUAAAGCGCACGUAGGCGGACAUUUAAGUCAGGGGUGAAAUCCCAGAGCUCAACUCUGGAACUGCCCUUGAUACUGGGUGUCUUGAGUAUGGAAGAGGUGAGUGGAAUUCCGAGUGUAGAGGUGAAAAUUCGUAGAUAUUCGGAGGAACACCAGUGGCGAAGGCGGCUCACUGGUCCAUUACUGACGCUGAGGUGCGAAAGCGUGGGGAGCAAACAGGG